UACGAAGGGGGCGAGCGUUGUCCGGAAUUAUUGGGCGUAAAGGGCUCGUAGGCGGUCUGUUGCGUCGGGAGUGAAAACUUACAGCUUAACUGUGAGCGUGCUUCCGAUACGGGCAGACUUGAGGUAUUCAGGGGAGAACGGAAUUCCUGGUGUAGCGGUGAAAUGCGCAGAUAUCAGGAGGAACACCGGUGGCGAAGGCGGUUCUCUGGGAAUAUCCUGACGCUGAGGAGCGAAAGUGUGGGGAGCGAACAGG
rnacentral:rRNA from 1 species